CCUACGGGAGGCAGCAGUGGGGAAUAUUGGGCAAUGGAGGAAACUCUGACCCAGCGACGCCGCGUGCGGGAUGAAGGCCUUCGGGUUGUAAACCGCUUUCAGUAGGGAAGAAGCGAAAGUGACGGUACCUACAGAAGAAGCACCGGCUAACUAUGUGCCAGCAGCCGCGGUAAUACAUAGGGUGCAAGCGUUGUCCGGAAUUAUUGGGCGUAAAGAGCUCGUAGGUGGUUCGUCACGUCGGAUGUGAAAAUCUGGGGCUCAACCCCAGACCUGCAUUCGAUACGGGCGAUCUAGAGUGUGGUAGGGGAGACUGGAAUUCCUGGUGUAGCGGUGGAAUGCGCAGAUAUCAGGAGGAACACCAAUGGCGAAGGCAGGUCUCUGGGCCAUUACUGACACUGAGGAGCGAAAGCGUGGGGAGCGAACAGGAUUAGAUACCCUGGUAGUCCACGCCGUAAACGGUGGGCACUAGUUGUGGGAACCUUCCACGGUUUCUGCGACGCAGCUAACGCAUUAAGUGCCCGCCUGGGGAGUACGAUCGCAAGAUUAAAACUUAAAGGAAUUGACGG
rnacentral:rRNA from 1 species